rnacentral:rRNA from 1 species
CAUAUCAAUAAGCGGAGGAAAAGAAACUAACAAGGAUUCCCCUAGUAACUGCGAGUGAAGCGGGAAAAGCUCAAAUUUAAAAUCUGUCAGUCUUUGGCUGUCCGAGUUGUAAUCUAGAGAAGCGUUAUCCGCGCUGGACCGUGUACAAGUCUCCUGGAAUGGAGCGUCAUAGAGGGUGAGAAUCCCGUCUUUGACACGGACUGCCAGGGCUUUGUGAUGCGCUCUCAAAGAGUCGAGUUGUUUGGGAAUGCAGCUCAAAAUGGGUGGUAAAUUCCAUCUAAAGCUAAAUAUUGGCGAGAGACCGAUAGCGAACAAGUACCGUGAGGGAAAGAUGAAAAGAACUUUGGAAAGAGAGUUAAACAGUACGUGAAAUUGCUGAAAGGGAAACGCUUGAAGUCAGUCGCGUUGUCCAGGGAUCAACCUUGCUUUUGCUUGGUGUACUUUCUGGUUGACGGGUCAGCAUCAAUUUUGACUAUUGGAAAAAGAUUAAGGGAAUGUGGCAUCUUUGGAUGUGUUAUAGCCCUUGGUUGCAUACAAUGGUUGGGAUUGAGGAACUCAGCACGCCGCAAGGCCGGGUUUUUAACCACGUACGUGCUUAGGAUGCUGGCAUAAUGGCUUUAAUCGACCCGUCUUGAAACACGGACCAAGGAGUCUAACAUGCCUGCGAGUGUUUGGGUGGAAAACCCGAGCGCGUAAUGAAAGUGAAAGUUGAGAUCCCUGUCGUGGGGAGCAUCGACGCCCGGACCAGACCUUUUGUGACGGUUCCGCGGUAGAGCAUGUAUGUUGGGACCCGAAAGAUGGUGAACUAUGCCUGAAUAGGGUGAAGCCAGAGGAAACUCUGGUGGAGGCUCGUAGCGAUUCUGACGUGCAAAUCGAUCGUCAAAUUUGGGUAUAGGGGCGAAAGACUAAUCGAACCAUCUAGUAGCUGGUUCCUGCC